CCUUAUUGGAGAGUUUGAUCCUGGCUCAGGACGAACGCUGGCGGCGUGCCUAAUACAUGCAAGUCGAGCGAACUUGAUGGAGUGCUUGCACUCCUGAUGGUUAGCGGCGGACGGGUGAGUAACACGUAGGUAACCUGCCCAUAAGACUGGGAUAACUACCGGAAACGGUAGCUAAUACCGGAUAGGUUCUUCUC
rnacentral:rRNA from 1 species